AGAGUUUGAUCAUGGCUCAGAACGAACGCUGGUGGCAUGCCUAAUACAUGCAAGUCGAACGAGAAAGUCCUUCGGGGCGAGUAGAGUGGCGCACGGGUGAGUAACGCGUAGGUGAUAUGCCUUUUAGUGGGGGACAACAGUUGGAAACGACUGCUAAUACCGCAUAAGCUGUGACAUUGAAAAAACCAAGGAAAGGGGGCUUCGGCUCUCGCUAAAAGAUUGGCCUGCGUAGCAUUAGCUUGUUGGUGGGGUAAUGGCCUACCAAGGCGACGAUGCUUAACUGGUCUGAGAGGAUGAUCAGUCACACUGGAACUGAGACACGGUCCAGACUCCUACGGGAGGCAGCAGUAGGGAAUAUUGCACAAUGGGGGAAACCCUGAUGCAGCAUGCCACGUGAGUGAGGAAUGCCUUCGGGUUGUAAAGCUCUGUCCUAUGGGAAGAACGGCUUAUCGGUUAAUACCCGGUUUGUUUGACGGUACCAUAGAAGAAAGCACCGGCUAACUCCGUGCCAGCAGCCGCGGUAAUACGGAGGGGUGCAAGCGUUGUUCGGAUUUACUGGGCGUAAAGCGCGCGCAGGCGGAUUGGCAAGUCAGAUGUGAAAUCCCGGGGCUCAACCUCGGAACUGCGUCUGAAACUAUCAAUCUAGAAUAUCAGAGGGGGAAGGGGAAUUUCACGUGUAGGGGUAAAAUCCGUAGAGAUGUGAAGGAACACCGGUGGCGAAGGCGCCUUCCUGGAUGAUUAUUGACGCUGAGGCGCGAAAGCGUGGGGAGCAAACAGGAUUAGAUACCCUGGUAGUCCACGCCGUAAACGAUGAGAACUAGCUAUUGGGGGUAUUGACUCCCUCAGUGGCGCAGCUAACGCAUUAAGUUCUCCGCCUGGGAAGUACGGUCGCAAGACUAAAACUCAAAGGAAUUGACGGGGGCCCGCACAAGCGGUGGAUUAUGUGGUUUAAUUCGAAGCAACGCGCAGAACCUUACCUAGGCUUGAAAUCCCUCGAAUCCGACGUAAUUGUUGGAGUGCUCGCAAGAGAAUGAGGUGACAGGUGCUGCAUGGCUGUCGUCAGCUCGUGUUGUGAAAUGUUGGGUUAAGUCUCGCAACGAGCGCAACCCCUAUCUUUAGUUGCCAGCAUUAAGUUGGGCACUCUAGAGAGACUGCCCGGGUUAACCGGGAGGAAGGUGGGGAUGACGUCAAGUCCUCAUGGCCCUUAUGCCUAGGGCUACACACGUAAUACAAUGGUGCAUACAAAGGGAAGCGAUCACGCGAGUGUUAGCAAAUCUCAAAAAGUGCAUCUCAGUCCGGAUUGGAGUCUGCAACUCGACUCCAUGAAGUUGGAAUCGCUAGUAAUCGUAGAUCAGCACGCUACGGUGAAUACGUUCCCGGGCCUUGUACACACCGCCCGUCACACCAUGGGAGUUGUUUUCAUUUUAAGACGUGACUCUAACCUUCGGGAGGAGAGCGUCUACAGUGGGAGCGAUGACUGGGGUGAAGUCGUAACAAGGUA
rnacentral:rRNA from 1 species